UAAAAGAUAAGCUAUAAAUAAGCUAGUGGGUUCAUACCUCACUUAAGGAAUAAUCCUCUUUUUA
rnacentral:tRNA from 1 species